UAUUUUUGUUUCUAGCAAGAGAGAAAGAAGCGUGAGAGGCGAUUGAGAGGCGACUGAGAGGCGACUAAAUCCACCACCACCGCCGGCGAAAUCCAUUCAAACGUCGUUGCCCGCGACUGCAACAACGAUUUUCGCUAUCUCGAGAAUGUAGAGAGAAAGUCAUUUGGAAAGAAUUGAGAGAAAGAAGAGUGUAAUUGCAGCAGAAGUGUCUAGCUUUCUGUUCUAGCAUUCUUGCCUUUCUGGGGACUUGAGGAUUCAUCUCAAAGUUCAUAGUCUAGAGCGGAUCUGCUGACACUUGGUUUGGCUGUGACCAAUAUUUUGAAUGGUCUUGUGUGGGAAAAACUGACAAAGCAUCUGAUUUGGAAGCAGUUAAGACAAAUGUUGUUGUUCCAGUAGAAAUCCCACAUGGAUCUCAAGCCCCCCCCACUUUAAGUCAGGAGCAACCAAGUAAAAAGGCUACAUCAAAAGAAAAGAGAAAAAACAGCAAUGUAGUACAACCACCUGCACCUGCACCUGACUUUGCAACCCAGCAGGUAGGCUAUCAAGGCCCUAAAAAUGCAUCCUUGUUGGGGAAUGAUACUCCAGCAGCUUCUUCAAUACCUGCAACUAGGAGAUAUAACAAGAGGCCAACUAUUUCACAAGUUUUGGACAAGAUAAAAGAGAGACAAAAGAGAAGACAACAAGAGUAGUUUAGACUGCAUCUUCAUCUUGUAAAUGGCCUUUUUUUUUGGGUAAAUGGCUUUUUUUUUUUUGGGUAAAUGGCCUCCUUUUGUAAAUGUGAAAAAAACUGUCUAUAAUAUGGCACUCAGUUCCUUUUGUAAUGUGGCAGUAACAAAAAUAUCAAGUUU